UGACCAGGUCAAGUCUCUUGGACAGAUUGC
rnacentral:piRNA from 1 species